UACGUAGGGUGCAAGCGUUGUCCGGAAUUAUUGGGCGUAAAGAGCUCGUAGGCGGUUCGUCGCGUCGGCUGUGAAAUCCCGAGGCUCAACCUCGGGUCUGCAGUCGAUACGGGCGGACUGGAGUUCGGCAGGGGAGACUGGAAUUCCUGGUGUAGCGGUGAAAUGGCGUAGAUAUCAGGAGGAACACCUGUGGCGAAAGCGGCUCACUGGACCAUAACUGACGCUGAUGCACGAAAGCUAGGGGGAGCAAACAGG
rnacentral:rRNA from 1 species